rnacentral:misc_RNA from 1 species
GGAAAUUUUCCAAUCUCCUAAUUUAACCGAACCAUGCACAGCCCUUUUACCGCUUACUGCAAUAGUUGAACCAAUCACAAAGAAAAUUUUAAUCUUUUUGAGAGAUAUUUAUAUUUCUUUCCUAAUUAAUACAUAGAAAAUAUUCAUACUUAUGGAUCACUAACAAUUAGUAAAACAAUCUGUUGUCAAAUAACGGUUAGAAAUGAGGAUAUCUGGCUUUCACUCGUAUCAUUGCAAUGAAAUUUUUGUACACAUCAAACCUGCAAAAGUCAAAGCCUUAAACAAUACCUCACCACAUAAGAUUAUGAAUCCACACAGAAUAUACAAAUGUUGAUCUCCAUGCACUUGACAUUGUUAAGUAAAGACCUUGUUUAUGCGAGAGUCUGAAAUGAUCAAAACCUGUCACUGUAAGCGGUUCCAUAAACAAUAAGGUGUGGUACAGUCCGCACAACAGUGUCGAUCGGUAUUGCAAAAUUCACCCCAGAGGAUACUCCUGUCCCUUUUCGAGUGAAAGUUGCUGUGUUGACGCCAAUAACAUGUCCAUAUGAAUUAAUCAAUGGCCCUCCUGAAUUCCCUGCAUAUUCUAUAUACAUUAAAGGCUGAAGAACUGAUCAUAUCAACAAAUUUCACGAUAUGAAAAGAUAAGUUAAAAACAUUACCAGUCUUUAAUAAAGCCUAAUUACUGAAGGAAACUUUAAAUUGGCAUGAAAGAAAGAAUAGACUCGUAUAGAAAAGAGGUGCUCCAUGGAAAUAAUUAAGUGUUCUAUCUUUAUUUUGAACCUACUAUCGUUUUGGCAAGGCAUUAAAAAAAUAUAUAUAAUAGAAUGAAAAUAUACAUAUAAAAAUGGAGGAAGUUCUUAAAACUUCUUAAUUUAUAUUGGCUUAAAAACUAAUACUUUACCUGCAUUAAUAGCCGCAUCUGUUUGAAUAGCUCCUCGAAUGGCUCUUCCAUUUGGUGAAGGUAUUUCCCUGCCUAAGCCGCUGACCACCUGCAUCAUCACAGACCAUUACAAAAUCAUCAUUCUUUUGACUAAUCAUCCCAUGCUUCACUUCCCAUGGACAAAUUAUAUUCAAAGCAUCUAACUAUGAUUCCAGAAAGGGCAUCAAGCUACACAAAUAGGCCUUAAAAAACUUAGAGCAAAAUGGGAACUGAAAAACAUAAAAUAUAAAAAAUAAUAAUGUUAAAAAAUUUGUCAGUUCAAUAUACUCAACUAUGUCAUUUCAUUUAAAAAUGUAGACCAAAAUAAUACAAGAAACUUGGCACUGUUGUUUGAUGCUGCACUUGAAGCAAUAAAUAGACUGGGAAUUGUCCCAAAAAUGAACUUUAAACUCAUUAUUGAAGGAUUACCCCAGUUGUAAGUGUGUUCUCAUAUCCAUAAGGAUUCCCAAUGGCAAAGCAGUUCUGACCAACACGUAAAUCUCUAGAAGUACCAAGAACAGCAGGCUUCAGUUCAUGUCCCUCGACAUCAACCUGCAAAUGAAAUAAGAGUAAGUGUCUCCAGUACUUGUUGUACUGCAAAUCACAAUAUGAUUACAAGAAUUCACAUAGAAACCAAAAUAAUCAAAUACAAUCACCUGUAUAAAAUAGUUAGUCAUGAGUCUCAUGACCAACAGAGAUAUUGUUGUGAGUACUUCAAUAUAGUGCAUCAGUACGUUCAGAGGAAUUUUAAUAUUACAUUCACAUAACCUUUUGCUAACAACGUCUAUCAAAAAUCCUUCGUGCAUUAUCUAAUUUGAGGGAGAAGGAACGAGUUGCAGCAUUUGCAAAGGCUCAGAAAGAUCUACAUAUCAUGCUUUAAUGGAAUUCAACCUUGUCCUCAUCCACAUUGAUCCUAGUUUCUACUUUGUCCUAAUCUGCCAUUCCCAAAAGACCUAGAGAUUGAAAGUGUACUCUGCAUUUAUGAGUAAGAAGUUUAAAACAACUGCACUACUUAGCUCCAACUUGAUACCUUAAGGACAGCCAGAUCAUAAGCUACAUCAAAACCAAUGAUCUUUCCUUCCCUGUACAAGCUAUUGCCUCCAGCAUCAAUUAGAAACACCUUACAACGCUGUAACCCGCUCCUAUCUGUGGCCAAUUUAUCAACAACAUGGUAGUUUGUGACUAUGUGACCAAACUUGUCCCAGAUGAAGCCUGAACCUGUCCCUUCAACUUUUGCACUCUCAUCCUCAAUAAGGGUAGCAUCAUUGGAAGAGCUCUUUGGGAUUUUAGCAAAUUCAAGGUCUUGAAUGAAAACAACCGAUGGUGAAGUUAUCUGGAAGACGUGAACAAUUCUAUCCUCUUCUUUCUCAAUUUCAUCUUCUUCAGCAGCAGCAGAAUGGAAUAAAGGUGGUUUUGAAUUGAAAUUGUGCAAGUUGACCAGAGAUGCAAUCCCUAAACUGGUGGAACCAAAGACUACUGCUCUUCUCCUUGCAAGAAUGAGACUCCUGUUUGUAGAAUCUUGAGAAUUUGAAGAAGAAGAAGACGUGGUUCCCUGAAUUAAAGGAGGAGAGGGAAUGCCAUGUAAAGAACCCAAGACCGCCAUGUCCCUCUGUUGUCCAACUGAAAACCGUUUUGUGAUCUUUCCAAGGACUGAGGAGCAAAGCGAUAAAGCAGA